UGAAAUAACCCAUUAAAGCACAGAAAAGCAGAGACCACCCCUCGUACCUUUUGCAUCAUGAUUCAGCAAGUUAACUCAAGCAAAGAGCACUCUAGUUUGCACCCCCGAAACUUGACGAGCUACUCCGAGACAGCCAUCUAUGGGCCAACCCGUCUCUGUGGCAAAAGAGUGGGAAGAUCUCCGAGUAGAGGCAAAAAACCUACCGAGCCAAGUUAUAGCUGGUUGCCCAAUAAAUGAAUACAAGUUCAGCCCUGCCUAGCCCAACUCACACCAGUUUUACGAAAAAAGACAAAGAGCUAAUCCGCAGGAGUUAAUCAGAGGAGGUACAGCUCCCCUGAUACAGGAUACAACCUUUUUAGGAGACAAAAGAAUAUUGCCAAACAAGGCCUUAGGUCUCAGUGGGCCUGAAAGCAGCCAUCUGACCCGAAAGCGUUAAAGCUCCGACCAAAAGUUGAGCCUUUUAUUAAAUCUAAAUUUCUGCUCCCCUAAAUCUCAUUGGGCCUCUCCAUGCACCCAUGGAAGAGACUAUGCUGAAACGAGUAACAAGAAGAAUGAACUUCUCCACGCACAAGUGUAUGUCAAAUUGGACUAACCAUCGACAAUCAACGAACCCAACAAAAGAGGGCCCUACACACCCGCCACCUCCGACCAAGAAAACCAUGUUCCCCUAAAUCGUUACCCCAACACAGGAGUGCCAGAAAAAGGAAAGACUUAAAGAAAAAAAAGGAACUCGGCAAACCCAGACCUCGCCUGUUUACCAAAAACAUCGCCUCUUGCAUUCUAAAGUAUAAGAGGUCCCACCUGCCCUGUGACUCUAAGUUUAACGGCCGCGGUAUUCUAACCGUGCGAAGGUAGCGCAAUCAAUUGCCUUUUAAAUGAAGGCCUGUAUGAAUGGUAUAACGAGGGUCUAACUGUCUCUUUUUUCUAGUCAGUUAAACUGAUCUGUCCGUGCAGAAGCGGACAUCCCAAUACAAGACGAGAAGACCCUAUGGAGCUUUAGACACUAGCCAACUGUGAAUAAGCGACUGAACUACACAAGUCUUAAAUAUCCACAGCCCCUGGUAAUGUAGUCUUAGGUUGGGGCGACCACGGGAGAAAGCAAAGCUCCCAAGCAGACCGGGACAACCCUUAAGCCAAGAGUUGCAACUCUAAGCCGCAAAAAUUUUGACUGAAAUGAUCCGGUUGAAAAACCGAUUAACGAACCAAGUUACCCUAGGGAUAACAGCGCAAUCCCCUCCCAGAGUCCCUAUCGACGAGGGGGUUUACGACCUCGAUGUUGGAUCAGGACAUCCUAAUGGUGCAGCCGCUAUUAA
rnacentral:rRNA from 1 species